rnacentral:rRNA from 1 species
AGAAUCAACGCUGGCGGCGUGCCUAACACAUGCAAGUCGCACGAGAAAGGGACUUCGGUCCUGAGUACAGUGGCGCACGGGUGAGUAACACGUGAAUCAUCUACCUUCGAGUGGGGAAUAACUGAGAGAAAUCUUAGCUAAUACCGCAUAAUACCUACGGGCCAAAGCAGCAAUGCGCUUGAAGAGGAGUUCGCGGCAGAUUAGUUAGUUGGCGGGGUAAUGGCCCACCAAGACGAUGAUCUGUA